rnacentral:tRNA from 1 species
GCGCAUGUGGCGGAAUCGGUAGACGCGCUAGCUUGAGGGGCUAGUGGCCGCUAUAGGCCGUGGGGGUUCGAGUCCCUCCAUGCGCA